rnacentral:rRNA from 1 species
UACGUAGGAUGCAAGCGUUGUCCGGAAUUACUGGGCGUAAAGGGCGCGCAGGCGGUGUGCCAAGUCAGAUGUGAAAUACUCCGGCUUAACCGGAGGGGGUCAUUUGAAACUGGCAGACUAGAGUGCAACAGAGGAUAGUAGAAUUCCCGGUGUAGUGGUGAAAUGCGUAGAUAUCGGGAGGAAUACCAGUGGCGAAGGCGGCUAUCUGGGUUGCAACUGACGCUGAGGCGCGAAGGCUAGGGUAGCGAACAGG